CUUCCAAUUUCAUCUCACACUCGCUUGCAGUUUUCCCAAUAUCGGCCUUUUGCUGCUUGCUCAACCCGGGAACUUCAUCAGGAUCUGCGUCCAGCUCCACCUCUGCAAGGUACUGGGCCUCCACAUCGUCAUUUGCUUCCAUGACUUUGUUGGCCUCAGUUAUGAGCCUUUUGAAAUGGUCUCUGAGCUCCUCUUCAGCCAUUAUGGCGUGCAUCCGGACAAUGUUGUUGGACAGCCGGGAGAAUUGUCGCUUUGCAGACGUCCUACUAGCUUUAAGCUGCUCCAGUGACUUUGAGUCAGCCAUCUUCCUUUUCACCAGGAUUCGGUGUGGGCGGGUGUUACUAGGCCUCUGGACUUCCAGGCCUGGCCAGUUGCAGUUCAGGAUACUUCGCUCCAGUCUUCGCACCAGUGGCGGUUUUUCACUGUCAAGUGUCUCACUUUUGUGAGGGUCAAACUGCAGCCCCCCACUUGAAAGGGCAGCUUGCUAUGAAGUGUGGACUGGAUUCCACUCAAUGACCAAGAUUCGGACUUCUUUGCUUUCUUGCUUUUUAUUUUUAAGAUUGUCCAGGUCAAACC
ensembl:lncRNA